AACAACACACUGCUGUCUGGAACUACUCAUAUUUAUGACUCUGUUGAUGCAACUAUCAAUAAAGACAUAAACACAGACCGUGUAAGCGGGCC